CCUACGGGUGGCAGCAGUGAGGAAUAUUGGUCAAUGGACGCAAGUCUGAACCAGCCAUGCCGCGUGCAGGAAGACGGCUCUAUGAGUUGUAAACUGCUUUUGUACGAGAAUAAAUCCCGAUACGUGUGUCGGUUUGAAAGUAUCUUACGAAUAAGGAUCGGCUAACUCCGUGCCAGCAGCCGCGGUAAUACGGAGGAUUCAAGCGUUAUCCGGAUUUAUUGGGUUUAAAGGGUGCGUAGACGGUUUGAUAAGUUAGAGGUGAAAGUCCGGGGCUCAACUGCGGCACUGCAUCUGAUACUGGCGGGCUAGAGUUUAGUUUCGGUAGGCGGAAUGUAUGGUGUAGCGGUGAAAUGCAUAGAGAUCAUACAGAACACCGAUUGCGAAGGCAGCUUACCAAACUACGACUGACGUUGAGGCACGAAAGUGUGGGGAGCAAACAGGAUUAGAUACCCCAGUAGUC
rnacentral:rRNA from 1 species